CAAAAGGUUGUAUAAUCUCUGAAAGGAGUACCCUUCCUGAAGCCAUAUCCAAGUUAUUCAAAUUUCAUUCUUUGUGAGGUUACAUCUGGAAAGGAUGCUAAGAAACUGAAGGAAGACCUUGCCCAGAUGGGUGUGAUGAUUCGCCACUACAAUAACAAGGAAUUAAAGGGCUAUGUUCGUGUUUCUGUGGGAAAACCUGAGCACACGGAUGCCCUAAUGGAAUGCCUCAAUCUCCUCCAGUGAUCAGACUUCUGGUGCAAUAACUAUCCACACAUGAAACUGUUCCAUGCCCCAUUUCUUGUCAAUGUUUAGAUGGAAACUUGAACGAAAUACAUCAGCUGAGCCAACUAUGCUUGAAAUUAAGCUGAAUAUCACAUCUUUUGGAUGCUUAAUAGAUGGCAAUAGAUUUAUUCCAGAGUGCAUUUAAGGAAGAAUCACUGUCAUUGAUUACAAGUUAAGAUUCUUCAGUUGUAUAUAUUUUUUUAGGACACUUAAGAGGAAAGAUGGAGCAAAAGAAUUUCGUUA